rnacentral:tRNA from 2 species
ACGGGCGUGGUGCAAUGGUAGCAUAUCGGUCUCCAAAACCGCUGAUCUUGGUUCGAGUCCAGGCGCCCGUGCAA